rnacentral:rRNA from 1 species
GAGUUUGAUCGUGGCUCAGGACGAACGCUGGCGGCGUGCUUAACACAUGCAAGUCGAGCGGAAAGGCCCUUUCGGGGGUACUCGAGCGGCGAACGGGUGAGUAACACGUGAGUAACCUGCCUCUGGCUUUGGGAUAACCCUCGGAAACGGGGGCUAAUACCGAAUAUUCAGCUUCUGCGGCAUCGUGGGGGUUGGAAAGUUUUUUCGGUCUGGGGAUGGGCUCGCGGCCUAUCAGCUUGUUGGUGGGGUAAUGGCCUACCAAGGCGUCGACGGGUAGCCGGCCUGAGAGGGCGACCGGCCACACUGGGACUGAGACACGGCCCAGACUCCUACGGGAGGCAGCAGUGGGGAAUAUUGCACAAUGGGCGGAAGCCUGAUGCAGCGACGCCGCGUGAGGGAUGACGGCCUUCGGUUGUAACC